GAUGAACGCUGGCGGCGUGCCUAACACAUGCAAGUCGAACGGAGUCCAGCCUUUAAGACCUUCGGGUCAAAGAGGGGAAGACUGAGUGGCGGACGGGUGAGUAACACGUGGGCAACCUGGCUCAUGGAGGGGGAUAACAGAGAGAAAUUUCUGCUAAUACCGCAUAAGCACACACUGCCGCAUGGCAGAGGGUGAAAAGAGAAUCGCUAUGAGAUGGACCCGCGUCUGAUUAGCCAGUUGGCAGGGUAAGAGCCUACCAAAGCGACGAUCAGUAGCCGAUCUGAGAGGAUGAACGGCCACAUUGGGACUGAGACACGGCCCAAACUCCUACGGGAGGCAGCAGUGGGGGAUAUUGCACAAUGGGGGGAACCCUGAUGCAGCGACGCCGCGUGAGUGAAGAAGUAUUUCGGUAUGUAAAGCUCUAUCAGCAGGGAAGAUAAUGACAGUACCUGAAUAAGAAGCCCCGGCUAACUACGUG
rnacentral:rRNA from 1 species